GAUGAACGCUGGCGGCGUGCCUAAUACAUGCAAGUAGAACGCUGAAGGAAGGAGCUUGCUCUUUCCGGAUGAGUUGCGAACGGGUGAGUAACGCGUAGGUAACCUGCCUGGUAGCGGGGGAUAACUAUUGGAAACGAUAGCUAAUACCGCAUAACAGUAGAUGUUGCAUGAUAUCUACUUAAAAGGUGCAAUUGCACCACUACCAGAUGGACCUGCGUUGUAUUAGCUAGUUGGUGAGGUAACGGCUCACCAAGGCGACGAUACAUAGCCGACCUGAGAGGGUGAUCGGCCACACUGGGACGGAGACACGGCCCAGACUCCUACGGGAGGCAGCAGUAGGGAAUCUUCGGCAAUGGACGGAAGUCUGACCGAGCAACGCCGCGUGAGUGAAGAAGGUUUUCGGAUCGUAAAGCUCGGUUGUAAGAGAAGAACGAGUGUGAGAGUGGAAAGUUCACACUGUGACGGUAUCUUACCAGAAAGGGACGGCUAACUACGUG
rnacentral:rRNA from 1 species